GACAGAGGGUGCAACCGUUGCUCGGAAUCACUGGGCGUAAAGGGCGUGUAGGCGGGAAGGCAAGUCAGAUGUGAAAUCCCUGGGCUCAACCCAGGAACUGCAUUUGAAACUCCCUUUCUUGAGUGUCGGAGAGGAAAGUGGAAUUCCUGGUGUAGAGGUGAAAUUCGUAGAUAUCAGGAGGAACACCGGUGGCGAAGGCGGCUUUCUGGACGACAACUGACGCUGAGACGCGAAAGCGUGGGGAGCAAACAGG
rnacentral:rRNA from 1 species